rnacentral:rRNA from 1 species
GCAGUAGCCGCGGUAAUACGAAGGGUGCAAGCGUUAAUCGGAAUUACUGGGCGUAAAGCGCGCGUAGGUGGUUCAUUAAGUUGGAUGUGAAAGCCCUGGGCUCAACCUGGGAACUUCAUCCAAAACUGGUGAGCUAGAGUACGGUAGAGGGUAGUGGAAUUUCCUGUGUAGCGGUGAAAUGCGUAGAUAUAGGAAGGAACACCAGUGGCGAAGGCGACUACCUGGACUGAUACUGACACUGAGGUGCGAAAGCGUGGGGAGCAAACAGGAUUAGAUACCCCCGUAGUCCCUGUCUCUUAUAC